UGGGGAANUUUCCGCAAUGGGCGAAAGCCUGACGGAGCAAUACCGCGUGAGGGAGGAAUGCCUUUGGGUUGUAAACCUCUUUUCUCAGGGAAGAAGAUCUGACGGUACCUGAGGAAUAAGUAUCGGCUAACUCCGUGCCAGCAGCCGCGGUAAUACGGAGGAUGCAAGCGUUAUCCGGAAUCGUUGGGCGUAAAGCGUCCGCAGGUGGCUUCCAAAGUCUGCUGUUAAAGACUGGAGCUCAACUCCGGAACGGCGGUGGGAACUUGGAAACUAGAGUUCGGUAGGGGUAGCAGGAAUUCCCAGUGUAGCGGUGAAAUGCGUAGAUAUUGGGAAGAACAUCGGUGGCGAAGGCGUGCUACUGGACCGUAACUGACACUCAGGGACGAAAGCUAGGGGAGCGAAAGGGAUUAGAUACCCCUGUAGUCCUAGCUGUAAACGAUGGAAACUAGGUGUGGCUUGA
rnacentral:rRNA from 1 species